CCUACGGGUGGCUGCAGUGAGGAAUAUUGGUCAAUGGGCGGAAGCCUGAACCAGCCAUGCCGCGUGCAGGAAUAGAUCCCUAUGGGACAUAAACUGCUUUUGAUACUGAGCAAGAGCAUAUACGUGUAUAUGAGUGAGAGUAAGUAUCGAAUAAGCAUCGGCUAACUCCGUGCCAGCAGCCGCGGUAAUACGGGGGAUGCAAGCGUUAUCCGGAAUUAUUGGGUUUAAAGGGUGCGUAGGCUGUGCGGUGCGUCUGUGGUUAAAGGCCUCUGCUUAACGGAGCGUAUGCCAUAGAAACGGCCGUGCUUGAGAGUGAUUGCCGUGGGAGGAAUGUGUGGUGUAGCGGUGAAAUGCAUAGAUAUCACACAGAACACCGAUUGCGAAGGCAUCUCACGAAGUCAUAUCUGACGCUGAAGCACGAAAGCGUGGGAAUCAAACAGGAUUAGAUACCCCAGUAGUC
rnacentral:rRNA from 1 species